rnacentral:rRNA from 1 species
AUGCACGAAGAGGUCGCCGGCAGGAGCGUCGGCCUGACCUUCGACCCGCUGUCGCGCCAGCACGCGCUGGUGGAGAUCGUGUACCGCGCCAGGGACUUCAGCUCCCGCCGUUACUUCGCGGUGAGCGCGAUCCUGCGGUGCGGCAACUACGGGCACCACUCCCGGGACUACGUGCUGGCGCCGCCGCCCCUGCCGGUGGCGGACGACGCGCCGCCGGCCUGCGUCGGCGGGGUGCUGUACUGGAUGAGCGACCCGCGGCUGGGGCGGAGCCGCGAGCGGGCCGUCGUCUCGUUCGACGUGGCCACCAGGGCGUUCGACGUCGUGCCCUGCCCUCCGUGCAUUGCGGCGUGGAGCGGCAUCACCAGCCCUCGCCGCGCGUCCGUGGCGGAGCUCGGGGGAGCGCUGCACGCCGUCCUAGCGGACCCGGCGGCGAACAGCCUGGACGUGUGGAGGCUGGAGCGCGGCGGCGGGUGGGGCAGGGCGUGCGUGAUACGUUUGGACGGUGCGCCGCCGGGGUACGACCUCGGGGCGAACGACGUGGUGCCGCUGGCCGUGGACCCGGACGACGGGAGGGUCGUGCUGAGCGCCGGGAGGAGGAUCGGGCUGUAUGAUCCGGCCGAGCAGACGGUUCGGGAUCUGCGCUCGCUGGAGGGGACGGAGGAUGGAGCGGCGGCGCUGGUUCCGAUGGUGUACGAGGAGAGCUUGGCCUGCUAUCCUUGCCGCCGGGCCAGAGCAAGACGGCUGUCGCAGAGCUGA